UACGGAGGGUGCGAGCGUUGUCCGGAAUCAUUGGGCGUAAAGGGCGCGUAGGUGGCGGGACAAGCGGGCGGUGAAAGCCUGGGGCUCAACCCCGGGUCGGCCGUGCGAACUGUUUUGCUUGAGCACUGUAGAGGCAGGCGGAAUUCCGGGUGUAGCGGUGAAAUGCGCAGAUAUCAGGAGGAACACCGGUGGCGAAGGCGGGUCUCUGGGCCGAUACUGACGCUGAGGAGCGAAAGCGUGGGGAGCAAACAGG
rnacentral:rRNA from 1 species